UACGAAGGGGGCUAGCGUUGUUCGGAUUUACUGGGCGUAAAGCGCACGUAGGCGGAUUGUUAAGUCAGGGGUGAAAUCCUGGGGCUCAACCCCAGAACUGCCUUCGAUACUGGCGAUCUCGAGUCCGGAAGAGGUGAGUGGAACUCCUAGUGUAGAGGUGGAAUUCGUAGAUAUUAGGAAGAACACCAGUGGCGAAGGCGGCUCACUGGUCCGGUACUGACGCUGAGGUGCGAAAGCGUGGGGAGCAAACAGG
rnacentral:rRNA from 1 species